GUUGGCUUGGAAGCAGCCAUUCAUUUAAAGAGUGCGUAACAGCUCACUAGUCGAGCGGUUCGGCAUGGAUAAUAAUCGGGCAUAAGCAUAUUACCGAAGCUAUGGCAACGAAAGUUGGGUAGGGGAGCAUUCUAUCGGCGCAGAAGCAUCACUGUGAGGUGAUGUGGAGCUUAUAGAAAAGAAAAUGUAGGCAUAAGUAACGAUAAAGCAGGCGAGAAACCUGCUCACCGAAAGACUAAGGGUUCCUCAGCCAUGCUAAUCAGCUGAGGGUUAGUCGGGACCUAACGCGAACCCGAGAGGGGAAGUGGAUGGACAAUGGGUUAAUAUUCCCAUACUUGCUCACGAAUAAAGGGGACGGUUCAGCUAGACUACUGGAGACUGACGGAAUAGUCAAGACCUAGCCUACGGGCGAAGUUGUUGUAGAGUAACUGGAUCCAAGAAAAGCCGAAGUGAAGCAACCCGUACCAUAAACCGACACAGGUAGUCGAGGAGAGAAUCCUAAGGUGCUCGAGUGAGUCGUGGCUAAGGAACUAGGCAAAAUAGUCUCGUAACUUCGGAAUAAGAGACGCCAACAGCGAUGUUGGCCGCAGUGAAGAGGCCCAGGCGACUGUUUAUCAAAAACACAGGACUCUGCUAAAUCGAAAGAUGCUGUAUAGGGUCUGACACCUGCCCGGUGCUGGAAGGUUAAGGAAGGUGCUUAGCGUAAGCGAAGGCAUUGACUGAAGCCCCAGUAAACGGCGGCCGUAACUAUAACGGUCCUAAGGUAGCGAAAUUCCUUGUCGGGUAAGUUCCGACCUGCACGAAUGGUGUAACGAUCUGGGCACUGUCUCAGCCACGAGCUCGGUGAAAUUGUAGUAUCGGUGAAGAUGCCGAUUACCCGCAAUGGGACGAAAAGACCCUGUGAACCUUUACUAUAACUUCGUAUUGACUUUGAGUAAGUAAUGUGUAGGAUAGGUGGGAGGCUAUGAAGCUGGCACGCUAGUGUUGGUGGAGCCGUUGUUGAAAUACCACCCUUUGCUUACUUGGAGCCUAACUUCUGAAUAAGAGUAAGAAGGACAUUGCGUGGUGGGUAGUUUGACUGGGGUGGUCGCCUCCAAAAGAGUAACGGAGGCUUUCAAAGGUACCCUCAGCACGCUUGGUAACCGUGCGUAGAGUGUAAUGGCAUAAGGGUGCUUGACUGUGAGACCAACAAGUCGAUCAGGUGCGAAAGCAGGACAUAGUGAUCCGGUGGUUCCGUAUGGAAGGGCCAUCGCUCAUAGGAUAAAAGGUACUCCGGGGAUAACAGGCUAGUCUCCCCCAAGAGCUCACAUCGACGGGGAGGUUCGGCACCUCGAUGUCGGCUCGUCACAUCCUGGGGCUGGAGAAGGUCCCAAGGGUUG
rnacentral:rRNA from 1 species